rnacentral:rRNA from 1 species
AUGGGCUCUCUUUCCCGCGAUAUUCUUGCACAGGUCGCCACGUUACAUACGCCGGCCGAAGUUUGGCGUGCAAUUCAUGCCAUGUUUUCUGCUCAAAGUCAAGCCCAAGUCAUUAACACCGGCAUCGAGCUGACCAAUCUUCGGAAAGGUAAUAUGAGCAUGGCCGAGUAUCUUGGGAAAAUUAAAAGUCUCACAGAUGAAGUUGCCUGCACCGCCGCCGCGCUCUCCGAUCCGGAGAUCGUUUCCAAGAUUCUCGCCGGACUGGACAUGGAAUACAACCCUGUCGUCUCGGCGCUCGCUGCUCGGGUGGAACCGAUCACGGUUCAGGAGCUUUACAGCCAGCUCCUGAGCUUUGAUGCCCGUCUUAGCCUCCUUCACGGCAGCAAC